AAAACAGCUGUAUAUUGCUGUGCCGUACGGAAACGUUACUCACAUUGUUGAAUUUAUUCUUAAACUAGCUGAAAUGCCAAAUUUCUCAGCUUCGAUAGGGAUUUGGUUUGGAUGUGCAUUGUUGCCACGGAGAAUAACGUGGCCCAGCCAGCCGUGAAGCGAGAAAAAUGAAGGCCAAUCAAAGCUGAGUCGUGGCUAACCACCUGGCAUUUUUACCGCUGUGGAUAGAACGUGAAAAUAAAGAAGUACAGGAAGGCAAUUAACCGUUUAAAAUUGGUUGAAAAAUCGGACAGUGAACGGCCUCGAUGUUACGAUCGUCCAUUUUUGUUUCUCUUUUGAUCCCCAUCGAAAACGGAUCGUCUGCAGGGGGUAAUUGGCGGUUAAAGUUUAGAAAAUUGUUGCCUGUCAUUUCCUUCCUUGUGCUUUUAACUAACCUUUCUGAUUGAAACAAUAACGGUUGAGAAAGCUGUAGAAAAUAUUCUGCAUGUUCAUUGAUUCAUCUCUUCACUGGUUUUAAGCUGGCUUUCUCGACAUUUAAACAAUAUGAAAGUGUGGUACAUAUUUAGGCCAAAUCGUCUCGAAUGUUUCAUAUCAAACAAACUAAAUUCUUUAAAUUUGCAUGUUGCAAUCAAUUUUAGGUCAAUUUCUGACUUGUAUUCUACUUUAAGAAAAUUCAUCAAACCCUUUUUUUUUAAAACUGAAACCUGUGACAUCCUUGUUCCGCCUGAGGGCGUGAAUGUACUAAUCUCUGAUUCGUUAACAUUCCCCUGUUUCAACAUUGUACUCUACGCGAAGGUAUUAGCAGCCACAGCCCCAACCUUGCACGAUAUAUUUUCGGACCAAACCAAAUUUAGAGUUAUGAUUCAGUUUUUGAAAAUGAUUUAUGAAGACAUGUGCGAGAUUUGUAAUCAGUUGCCAACCCCCUACCUCAAAUCGGUGCCCCAUUAUAGCAACCCUCGGUUCGUUGCAUUUUUAAUUAAAAUUUUUUUUUAUUCUUAAUGACUCACCUCCCGUGGAUCUUUAAUUAACUGCAAACACCCGUUUCGAGAUUCAAUAGCCCAGGUACAGGAAACAACGAAACAGACAGACUUCAUCAAGACACUGAUCUACAUCCACAGAAUCGGAAAAUGCUGUUAAGAUUUGUCCUGCAUCCACCGUUUGAAUCUAAACAUUGUUUUAACGUUUGUCGUGUCACAAGUGAUUCACUUGCAAUGCCAUUCCAAUUGGCUACACCGUAAACUUCUGUUCACUUCUGGCCACGGAGUGCGCAUUUCCUCACGCUACGAGCGUGCACCGACACUGCGGUUGGCAACGUCUUCUGAAAUUGUCUUAUCCCUGUCUAAUAUAUUGCGUACAUACGUCAUAA